CAGAGCCGCGGUAAUACGUAGGUGGCAAGCGUUGUCCGGAAUUAUUGGGCGUAAAGGGCUCGCAGGCGGUUUCUUAAGUCUGAUGUGAAAGCCCCCGGCUCAACCGGGGAGGGUCAUUGGAAACUGGGAAACUUGAGUGCAGAAGAGGAGAAUGGAAUUCCACGUGUAGCGGUGAAAUGCGUAGAGAUGUGGAGGAACACCAGUGGCGAAGGCGACUCCCUGGUCUGUAACUGACGCUGAGGAGCGGAAGCGUGGGGAGCGAACAGGAUUAGAUACCCCCGUAGUCCCUGUCUCUUAUACA
rnacentral:rRNA from 1 species